GUAUAGCAAAAAGAACUGCUUCACAGGAAACUUUAAACAUGUCCGGUAAAUUGGAAAUAUUUUGGUUUCAACAAGACAUCAAGAUCUUUCCUUACAGGGUGACACUCCAAAUUUCAACAUAAUCACAGCUAAUUUUAAAAUGGGGAUUAUAUUUAAGUCUAGAAAUUCUAAUCCACGGCCUGACACCGCCUCACUCAUUACCGAAGAAGAUGGAAGAAAAUCUUCUCAACGGCCUUCCCUCUGAUAUCAAGUUGGGCAUAUUUUCUAGGACAGUUUGUAGAGAAAGGAAUCGCUAUUAACCGAAUUGUGGUAAUAUCAGAGACGGCGUAAGAGUUUGGAAAUUUCAAUUUCUAUCUCUUAAUCGCACAAUUUUUGUUAUUUUAUUUUCAGGGUUAACCCUAAUUAUGGUUUUAAAGACUUCUAUGACUUAGAAAAAGUUCAUGGAAAUGAAUUGCUUUUUUACUUAUUUAGAUAUGAGGAUGCACCGCUUAACAUUCAAUGCCAAAAGAAUACAGGAGAGAUUCAUCCAGCAUACACACAUCCCCUUCAUCUCCGAUACAAUAAUUAAGGUGCAAAUUCUUUCAAGUUAGUAUUCCUGUUAUUUAGAGUUUCUAUCGACUUUCUUUUGCUAUUUAAGAUUGUUAUCAAAGAAGGAAGGGCUUAACUGAAUAUUUUGCAACUUUUUGAGUAUGAAAGUAGAAGGAAGUUAUCCUCAAAUCCAACUGUGGAACUAAUAAAUUGUGGGUGUAGUGAUUCAAAAAACAGUGGACUUGGAGUAAGUUCAUCUUUCCCCUUCAAAUAUCUUCUUAUUCCAUGUUGGUGUUUUAAGUUACAAUAAAACCCAUCAUGCUAAAGCUACUUAUGACUAAAUUAGAUGUUUAAUGAAUGCAUACAUCCAUACAUUGUUUCGAGGAAUUAUAUCCAGUAUUGACCACAAAGUUAUUUCUAUAUAUGCAACGUGUUGGUUUUAUUUGAUGCCAGUGGGAUUCCUUUGUUGGUUUUUCUAUAGCCCUUGAUUAUCAAUCUGCUGGUGAUGCAUAUCCAGGUAUUUGCAGUUGUUCAUUUGUUUUUCUGCAUGUUAAUUGAUUGGUACUCAUACUACUGUGUUAGCAACUCCAAAGCAAUGUGUGUUAUCCCCUGCCAUGUUAAUUUGGUUUCUGGCUGAAGUUACUUUGGAUACACGGUUUCAUUUGAGAAAUGCGGUAUAUAUAUAGAAACAUGGUUUUUAUAGAAUAAAACAAUUGUGUUAAGUUUGAUCAUGUAUUCCAUACAUGAUGACAGGUGUGUUAAUCCUGCUUUGUAUGUGUUAGAGAUGCAAAAUGUUGGUGACUUGGAUUUGCAUUAUUGUUGAUGUGGUAAUGGUAAUGGUAUUCCUAUCCGACUGCAUCAAUUGAGAUGCUCGGAAACUUCUUUUCGAAAACAUUUGGAAGAUUUCACGAAGUGUGGUGAUCGCAGUACCAUUCAACUUGCAAUGGGUUAGUAACAUGUUUGAACUGUCUUCACUUUGGUAUAGAAGAAGGUUCUUAUUAAGCGAGGACAUACAGUUCCUAUAAGUUGCCAGCACUUGAGAUUCAGCGAAACCUUUUCAUAGUUUGAUGUAUGUUGCUUAAUUGAAACUUUGUCGACCUUAUGGAUAAUAUUUUACAAUGUUCGCUGUAAAACUCACUUCACUACCGCUCACUUUCAUUUACUCGAACUGCAUUUGAUUGUUCAAUAGUUAAUUAUUCAUAUCUAGGUUUCAAUCAUCUUUUUUUUUUCCCCGUAUGAAUUGGAUUAUUUAUGAUUUUCUUUCUUCAUUUUUGGAUUUUGUAGGGGUUCAGAUGAGUUCUGAAUACUUUAACACUACCACUUUGACUAUUUUAGCAAGUGGACUAAUUCUCCAUCGAUGAAAACACCGUCAUUACGCCUUGCAAGACACUCCACGAACGUUGUUCCUGUUGUGGGGGUACUUUACAGACAAUUUAAAGUUCACAACAGGAGUAUUGCUUGGCGAGUUUCAAAGUACCGUGACUUCGUUUGCAACACUGAAACUUAAUUGCAAAUUUUGGUGAAACUACAAUGGGAUGACUUGCUCCUGUUGAUUCUGACAACCCUGCUAAUCCAAAGAAUAAUUGGGUUCCAGAUGACAAGCUUCGAUUUUGGAGUGAAAGAGCAACAACCAAAGAACAUGGUUGAAUAAUGUCAUCACAACAUGUUCCCUAUUAAAAAGCUUGAGGUUACUUUCCUUGAUGUCAAGCUCAAUGUCCAUACUAUGUUUGACUGCAAACCCAUUAAGUGCAUGUAUUACAAAAGAAAAAAACAUACCCAAAAGGAACGAUGUUAACAUUGGAGAUGGAUUUUGGAGAGGUUUGAUGUAGAGUCAUGUAGUAUAUGACAGUCUUGAUGUCGUGCAUGGCACACUUCACCUGGAUUUAUGAGGUAAGGUUCCAAGUUAAAAUGAUCAAUAUAUGCAGACAAUUAGAGUACGCGUCUCUGUACAUAGUUUCCUACUUCCGUUAAUUGCUACAUGCGGUCAUUGCUUUCUCAAAAUUUUUGGGGAAUAAUUAACAUAUUUGUGGAUAUGAAAUGCAUGGUGGGGCAUUUUCUAUAUAUGCAGACAAUUAGAGUACGCAUCUCUGUACAUAGUUUCCUACUUCCGUUAAUUGCUACAUGCGGUCAUUGCUUUCUCAAAAUUUUUGGGGAAUAAUUAACAUAUUUGUGGAUAUGAAAUGCAUGGUGGGGCAUGUUCUACAUACCUUGCAUUGUGAGUAGGUAUACAACAUUCAGUCCUUUUUUUUUUAAAUCCUAUUAUUGACGAUAUAGAGAUUUCAUGUGCAUUUAUAAUCUCCUGGAAUGAGGGUUUUUAUCAUGGUUUCUUAACCAGGGAUGUUGAUUCCAUCUUGGUCAAAUGCUUCUGUUUGGAUAUCUCUUUGAAAAAACUAUUAGGUAUUAGGAAUUCAUGAUGCAAAGGAAGAGGCAAACGUGUUUGUCCAAUGAUAUAUUUUCUUGCCUUUAGAGCAUCAUACAUUUAUGAUAGAGUGCAUUUAGAGUAGAAUGUCCAUGAACAAUGGGAUCAGAAUACGUUGUCCCCAACUAUUUAGUGUUUUGGGUCAAUAAAUAACUUGGUUAGCUAUUUUAAACUAUCAGCUCAGAAUAGUAGGCAUUAGUUCUAAAUUAUGACCAGCGAGCAAUUUAUUUUUUAUAUGUUGAUAUAGUUUUCUAGGGCACUAGUGUUUCAUUUUUCUGUAUUUCUUAAGGAUGCCUUUUUCCUAUCUAAAAAUCUCCUUAUUGUAUAGUGCAUGCUUCUGUUAAGGCACUCAAUGGUGACAUCAGAUGUUUUGAUUCUUCAGGCCAAGGCUGAAAAGCUGGCAAGGUAAGGGUUUUUUAGUAAAUAUUUGGUAAUGUGGACCGAUGACUUAGAACUGGGAUCUUUUAUUAGCGUACAUGAGAUGGUGUGAGGUACAAUCUCUUCUUGAUAUUACCUCAUACUAUUAAAUCUUUUAGACAAACAUAUGCGCAGUUGCUAUCUUAGCUCAAAUGGCAGAGCACGUGGUUUUUACCAUGAAGUUGCGAGUUCGACUCCCUCAGAUGGCAUAGUUAUUUGAAUAAGCCAAAACCCAAAACCUUAUUCCGGUACCAGUGUGUAGGUAUAUAUAGACAGAAAAUGUAUAAGAUUAUAAGGCUCUUUGGAGGAUUCUUUUUGUCAAUUCCAGGACCUAAUAUUACUGUUCAUAUUAAGCAUCUGUUGCGAUCUCUACUCAAGGAAAAGGGUAAAAUUUUGCUAUGUGCUUUCUCAUCAAGUUUGUUUUAGGCUUUGAGCCAAAUCAGUGUUUACCCUCUUAUGUUAAUGAGUUUAUUGAUCUUUGGUGGUAUGAAUGGUAUGAUGGACUGCUUAAAAGGAUAUUCAGUUGACUCCUUAACUCCUUCCAGGUACUUAUAUUUUCAGCCACGACAUUGGAACUUUAUUGAAACUUUAGUCAAUAAUUCAAGCUAAAGUUGUUGAUUAGGAAAAUAUUGAUAUUUAUCUCAAGAGUGACAACAUAAUAUAUUGGUUUCGGCGAAUAAUUGUUUUAAGAAUUCUUUGAGUAACUAUUUACUACAUGAAUUUGUGAAUUUUGUUGAAUUUGAUGAUUAAAAUCAAGUUAUAGGGUCAGUACUUCCGGGUGCAAAACUGGCUUAUUGAAUUGAAAAAACAACGAAAUAAUACACGCACAUGACACAAAUAUAUUUACAGGUUUUUUGAUUUGGUAGCUAAAAUAUUAACGUUCAACACCAACCAGGCACACUAAAUCCAAAAUACGUAGAAAAUACAAAAUCAUAUUAAACGAUCUACACAGUUUCAUAAAACUAGACGAUUUCCAAAUUUAGUCAGAAUUCGGUAUAUACUCACGCAUACGAAUCACAAGCCGGCAUAAUAAAUAGGUUGUAUAAACCAACAAAAUAACAAGGUUUGUUGUUACAUAAACCCGGAAAUAAAAGAGUUCUCGUAUUAGGACAGAUGAAAUUUGAGAACAAUAAAAUAUGUGAUUUUGGAGAACAAUAGAAAGAGAAAAAUAUCUCUCCGCAACAAGAUAAUCUAAAUUUCAUAUCAGAAUAUUUCAAUAGAUAGGUACGGCACAACAACUAAAAAACCUAUAGAUGGUGCCUUUAUUUCCUUAGCAAAAAAUCUAUGGAUUCCAAAAUAAAAUAAAAUGAGUUGGAACGACAUAUGCGGGAAGAACAAUAUCAAUAUGAAAUAACUUUUUCACAGUAUUAUCCGAAUUGAGGUUUAUGAAUAAUUUUCAUGUCGACAUGUAUGUUAUGAAAUACAUGUGAACAUCAUGGGGGUCUAACUAACUAAAUUGUUUACUUAUUUUUUAAAAGUAUUUGGAUACAUUAAAUAAGAUGUAGUUUGUUUUAAUGUAUGUAAACUGAAGACUAUCACGGGAGGUUGAGCCGGGGCCGUAAGGCUAGGAAAAUCAAUACUAUUAUUCCAGUAUGUUAUUGCUGUUUGGGUUCUUCAAGUAAAGGUAAAAAUAGUCAUGUGUUUUUUUGUAUGUGGUAGCCAUGGAUGGAGGAUCUUGAUUCCUGAAGAUGAUGGCAUAAGAUGAAUGUUGUACAUUUGGUCUUAUGAAAGUUGACUCUUAAUGGGGUCUGAUGUUAUUGAAGAUUUGGCAUGGGCAAUUGAGGUAUAGAUAUCACAUCUCUUAGAAAAUUAAGGGGAAUGUAUAUUUGUGUACGAUGCAUUUCAUUUUUUGGUGUUGUCAGUAUGACUUGAUUUGUGCUUUUGUAUAGUGGAGAUAAUGAAGUCGUUGAGAAUAUCAGUAAACAAACCAAAAAGGUAGGAUGUAAGCACGGUUAUGUUAAAGACACAAAAGAAAUUCGAAUAAUGCAUUCGGUGGUCAUGGAAGGUAGAAUAACACAGUCCGAUAGUUACGUUCCUGCUUUUACUUAUGGGAAAGUGAGUAAUCACAUUUCUUUUUUCUUAGGAGUUUCCAAAAUAAAAUAACAUUUUUUUUAUUGCUAGAUAAUAGUUACCUUUAGCAGUUCAAUGUGGUUCUUGCUCAAGGAGCAGAUCAAAUUAAAAUAGAUGGAGCAGGGUAAGCCAAAAUAAUUACAAACCAUGAACAAAGUUAUGCUGCCCUUAUUCUGAAGCAUCCGGUAUUAGAAUUAAUAUAAUUUGGCACAAGUGAAUAUCUGCUAUCAUGUUUUAAUUUUUUUAUAUGCUUCAAUUGAUGAAUAAGCAGUUAUUGACAGGGUUACUUGAAGUUAACUUGGAAUUGUGAACUCCAUUCACCUAUUAUUGAUGCAUGGGUGAUAUUUGGAGGAGCAUUCCAUAUGCUAUAGCAUUAAAGUAGAAGUAUAGAGCAUGUGCAGCAUUGUUGACCCCUUCGUUGGCUGAGCCUUUGGUAUGGCCUCCUCAUUGAAUUUUAUCAGUGAGCUGAAUCUAGAUGCUAAAGUCCUGUUAAAAGGGGAACUUAUCCCCACUAGCUAAUGAUACUGGCAACAAUGUCUCUAAGCUGAGUUUUUCCUCAUUCCCUUUAUGUUAAGUUUGAACUUACAUAAUAAACCUUCCAUCGACAGUAUACGCGUCUAUAUUUGAUUCUUUUGCAGCAUCAACAAUAUAAAAUUGAUUCAUGGGUGAUAUUUGGAGGAGCAUUCCAUAUGCUAUAGCAUUAAAGUAGAAGCAUGGAGCAUCUGCAGCAUUGCUGAACCCCUUUGGUGUUUUUGGAUAAAUAAGGUUUUGAGGCAAAAUUGGCUAAAAAUGUGGCCCUUGGAU